rnacentral:rRNA from 1 species
GAUGAACGCUGGCGGCGUGCCUAAUACAUGCAAGUCGAGCGAACGCAUGAGGAGCUUGCUCCUGUGACGUUGGCGGCGGACGGGUGAGUCACACGUGGAUAACCUCCCUAUGAGACUGGGAUAACUUCGGGAAAGCGGAGAUAAUACCAGCUCAUAUAUUGAACCGGAGGGAUCAGUAGGGACAUACGGUUUUGCUGGCAGUUAUAGAUGGAUCCGCGCCGCAUUAGCUAGUUGGUAAGGUAACGGCUUACCAAGGCAACGAUGCGUAGCCGACCUGAGAGGGUGAUCGGCCACACUGGAACUGAGACACGGUCCAGACUCCUACGGGAGGCAGCAGUAGGGAAUCUUCGGCAAUGGGCGAAAGCCUGACGGAGCAACGCCGCGUGAGUGAUGAAGGUCUUCGGAUCGUAAAACUCUGUUAUUAGGGACGAAAAAAUGUGUAAGUAACUAUGCACGUCUUGACGGUACCGAAUCAGAAAGCCACGGCUAACUACGUG